rnacentral:rRNA from 1 species
UUCUGGCUCAGGAUGAACGCUAGCUACAGGCUUAACACAUGCAAGUCGAGGGGCAGCAUUGGAGUAGCAAUACUCAGAUGGCGACCGGCGCACGGGUGAGUAACGCGUAUCCAACCUGCCGCUUACUCGGGGAUAGCCUUUCGAAAGAAAGAUUAAUACCCGAUGGUAUAAAGAGUUCGCAUGUUCUCUUUAUUAAAGAAUUUCGGUAAGCGAUGGGGAUGCGUUCCAUUAGAUAGUUGGCGGGGUAACGGCCCACCAAGUCUACGAUGGAUAGGGGUUCUGAGAGGAAGGUCCCCCACAUUGGAACUGAGACACGGUCCAAACUCCUACGGGAGGCAGCAGUGAGGAAUAUUGGUCAAUGGACGAGAGUCUGAACCAGCCAAGUAGCGUGAAGGAUGACUGCCCUAUGGGUUGUAAACUUCUUUUAUAAGGGAAUAAAGUGAGGGAUGUGUCCCUUUUUGUAUGUACCUUAUGAAUAAGGAUCGGCUAACUCCGUGCCAGCAGCAGC